GCCGCCAUAGCUCAGCGGUAGAGCAACGGUUUUGUAAACCGUAGGUCGUGGGUUCGAUUCCCACCGGCGGCU
rnacentral:tRNA from 1 species